GGAAAGAGCAUGGGCCUUGGAGUGGAGUUUAGAGCCUGGUCUGACUAGUGGUGACCUUGGACGUGUUGACCCUGGGCGUCAGCGCCUCCUCUGCAUUAUGGGAACGACAGAACUGUCUCAACAGAUUCUCUUGAGGAUGAAGAGACGCUCUGUCUGCAGAACGAUGGGAAUGUGCGGCUCAUUCCUGCGACGAAAGGCACGCCGUUGGAUGACCGUGUGUGCGGAGUCUGGAGGAAGGGCCGCAGGGAACUUGCCUCUCAGCCUGCCGUGGACGUCUAGGGAAACAUCUACAAGGCAGACUUCCUUGUUUGCUAAUAUUGACCAUUGACCACCUUUUACCGCAGAAUUCUGAGCUUACAAAGAAGUGGAGAGAUGACAGGCGGUUGGAGGCAAAACAGAUCAACCUAAUUACCGUUAAGAACAUUGCUGUGAUGUCAGCCCCAGAUGCUCAUCUGCUUGGUCGCAAAGCCCGUGAUCUUGUUGGGUGGACCUGAGUCUCCCCACACUGGCGGCAGUGCUGGCCCGGCACCUGGGAGUCCAUACUGGUGCUGCUCACAUACCAGCUUGCUAUUUUUUGCUACGAAAAAGGCUUAAAUUGCAUCCUGUCCCACUUGCAUUCAGACCCCAAUAUCCCCUGGUAUUGUGUUCGAUUCUUAAUUCUUUGUGGCCAUGGGGUGGUAGAGUGUUUAAAGGAGGAGGGGGCGGGGGAAGGCACGCCUGGGUUAGGCUAUUGCAAAGGUCUGGGCGCCUUUACAAGCCGGUGCUCCCUGGUGAUGUCAUCAUGCCCAGCAGAUGACGAUGUUACUGUGUGCAGGAGGGGUCUGGGCGGGUGCACACAAUGGCCACCACCUCCCUUCCCAGAAAAAAAUGAGCAAACUGGUGUGGUUUCUUUCUUUUUUUUUUCUCUUCUUCUUUGAAAAAUGGAAAGAGAACUUUCUAAAAGGAUGUAUACUUCUAAGCUUUAGGUAGGAUUUAAAACAUUUGAAAGAGGCCAUAUCUCUUCUCAGGCUUAUAUUGUCUUUCCCCCUCUGCUGGGUUCAGCAGUAUCUACAGUCCCUCUCCUCUUAUUUCUUCUCUCCUUCCUUCCUUUCUUCCCUCUCUUCGUCCCUUCCUGUAUUGGCACCAGUUUAUUUAUUGAACAGCAUGGAAUUUUAAAACAACGUAACAUAAAUUAGGAAAAAUCACAUUUGUGCUUGUUAAAUGCAGAUAAGAUUCUAUUUCAAAAAAUGCCUUAAAAAAAAAGACUAGAAGGACAUAUGCCAAAAUGUUAGCAGUGGUUCUCACUGUUGGUAAGUAGGAUCUCAGAAUGACUUUUUCUUUUUGCGUUUCAUUGAUUUUAUUUUUAAAUUCAGCAUAUAACAAAAUUCACUCAUUUUGGUGUACAGUUCUGUGAAUUUUAGCAUUUGUAUAAAUUUGUGUAACCACCGUGUGUGGCUGCUUUCUCUGGUCCUUUCCUUCCCCAGGCCCUCCCUGCCUGACCUGGUUCUCCUACCUUUCAGCCCACUCCUUCCUGCUCCCCUCAGGAGCUUCUGCUUCUCCAGGUGCCUCUGAAAUGCUGGUGUUUAAGCCUUUUUUUUUUUUUUUCCAACAGGAAUUCUAUCCCAGGGGUGAUCUUACCCAUUCCUAUGGAUUCGGUUAGGCACCUUCAUACUGUCUCCUGGGGUCUAUCUCCACUCUAGACCUGUUUGAUCACAUCCCUUUUGGACAACACCAUGUGUCACAAAUCAAGCUCAUUUUCUCUUCCUGCUGUGGGUAUGUCUCUCAGAUCCAAAAUCUCUGUUAAUGGUGACACUGGAAACCUGGCCUCCCAAGCUAGACCCCUCAGAGGCAUUUUCACGCUGUUCCCACUGCCUCCCACAUAAUCAACAGGCCGACCCCUGUGUGUCGUGUUUUUGGCACACGCCUUGAUCCUCUGCCUCCUCUCCACCCUCCUUGUCCUUUGCCCUGAUCUUAUCUUGCCUGGGUCAUCUCGAAAACCUAAGUGAUCUCUUAAGUCUCUGGUUUCUCUUCUCUCUUGCCUGUCCUUUCUGUUGCCAACCUGGGCUGCCGCUGAAACACAGACAAUGUCAUUUCACUCCCAUGUGUAAAACCCUUCCAGAGCCACGGGAUGGCAUUCACAGGACUCCUGGUGACACCCAGGACUUUCACAACGGCCCCGUGACACUUCCUCAGCCCAUCUUCCUCUGCUGCCCCGGCCCACCUCCGAGCUUUGGCUCUGUGGCCCCAGCUGGGACGCUCUGAGGACCCCCGCACGUUCUUCCACCGGGCAGCCUUCUGCUCUGUGGUCCAUUUAGUUCAGAAUUUCCUCUUCUGCUCAGCUGUUCUCGGCGCUCUCGGGAACAUGGAGUUACUCUUUUGCGUUCUCCUGCAUGCUGACCAUUGGAAGGUGUGAGUUACUCCCCAGAAGCAAUCAGAAACCACAGGACCUUGAUGAUAGGAGGAAGAGUCAGAAGAUAACAGGAUGAUAUAGACCAAAGGAGGCUCCAACUAGGAAAUGGGGGGAAAAUAAAGGUUUAAAGACCAGAGCGGGGUGCCUGGGUGGCUCAGAUGGUUAAGCGUCUGCCUUCGGCUCAGGUCAUGGUCCCAGGGUCCU